CGCUCCAGCUUCUCCAGCAUCGACCGAAAUCUCACACCAACAACGUAUAAAUUAUAUGCAUGAUGAGAUCAAAAAUUAAUUAAGGUGAUUCACAUCAUAUCAGGGAGAUGAUAUAUAUCAAUUUUAAGUACAAUCAGAUCUAAAUAUCUCUACAAUAGCUUGUAUCAUUUCAACUGAAUAAGAUGAUUUUUACUUGAUUCAGAUGAAUCAAGAUAAAAUAUAAGUAUGACCUACAAUGAUUUGUAUCAUAUCAAAAGAUGAUAUAAAUGUUAUACAAUAAUUUCAUGUACCAUCAGAUCUGAAUAUAUCUACAUUAGUUUAUAUUGUCUUAACUACACAAAAUGAUUCUCACCUGAUUCAGGUUGAUCAUGAUAACAUAUUAGUGAUACUUACAAUAAUUUGUAUCGUAUCAAAGAUGACAUAAAGAUCAAUUUAAUUUAGAUUAAUUAUAAAAUAUAAAUGUUAUAUACCUCAAAAUGCUGACAAUCAACAACUAACCAUUUGUCAGGAUUUCUUGGGAUCUGGCAAUCUACAACCAUAGCUAAGCUAACAAGCC
rnacentral:lncRNA from 1 species